rnacentral:rRNA from 1 species
CCUACGGGGCGCAGCAGUGAGGAAUAUUGGUCAAUGGACGAGAGUCUGAACCAGCCAAGUAGCGUGAAGGAUGACUGCCCUAUGGGUUGUAAACUUCUUUUAUAUGGGAAUAAAAUGUUCCACGUGUGGGAUUUUGUAUGUACCAUAUGAAUAAGGAUCGGCUAACUCCGUGCCAGCAGCCGCGGUAAUACGGAGGAUCCGAGCGUUAUCCGGAUUUAUUGGGUUUAAAGGGAGCGUAGGUGGAUUGUUAAGUCAGUUGUGAAAGUUUGCGGAUCAACCGUAAAAUUGCAGUUGAAACUGGCAGUCUUGAGUACAGUAGAGGUGGGCGGAAUUCGUGGUGUAGCGGUGAAAUGCUUAGAUAUCACGAAGAACUCCGAUUGCGAAGGCAGUUCACUGGACUGCAACUGACACUGAGGCUCGAAAGUGUGGGUAUCAAACAGGAUUAGAUACCCGAGUAGUC